rnacentral:rRNA from 1 species
CCAAGCUAUUAAGGGCAAACGGUGGAUGCCUAGGCGUCAAGAGGCGAUGAAAGACGUGGAAAGCUGCGAUAAGCUUCGGGGAGCUGCUAAACAAGUUUUGAUCCGGAGAUUUCUGAAUGGGGAAACCCGUCGCGAGUAGUGUCGCGACAUCUUCAGCUGAAUACAUAGGCUGUUGAGGCUAACGGGGUGAACUGAAACAUCUUAGUAACCCUAGGAAGAGAAAACAAUAGUGAUUUCCUAAGUAGCGGCGAGCGAACGGGAAACAGCCCAAACCAUGCACCCUUCGGGGCGUGUGGGGUUGUAGGACCGUCAUCACGUGAUCCAUUAUUAGAUAGGAGAGCAGGUUGGAAAACCUGGCCAUAGAGGGUGAUAGCCCCGUAUCCGAAAUCGAAAGUGGCACAGACGGCACCUGAGUACCACGGGACACGAGAAACCCUGUGGGAAUCCGGGAGGACCAUCUCCCAAGGCUAAAUACUACUUGACGACCGAUAGUGAACCAGUACCGUGAGGGAAAGGUGAAAAGUACCCCGGUGAGGGGAGUGAAAUAGUACCUGAAACCGUUUGCCUACAAGCAGUGGGAGCACGAUGAACAUGGCCUUGUGCCCUGUUCCGUGUGACUGCGUGCCUUUUGCAUAAUGAGUCAGCGAGUUACUUUACGUAGCAAGGUUAAGCCGAUAGGUGUAGCCGUAGCGAAAGCGAGUCUUAACAGGGCGAUUGAGUUGCGUGGAGUAGACCCGAAACCAAGUGAUCUAUCCAUGGCCAGGGUGAAGCGAGAGUAAAAUCUCGUGAAGGCCCGAACCGUUGUAUGUUGAAAAAUGCUCGGAUGAGCUGUGGAUAGGGGUGAAAGGCCAAACAAACUUGGAAAUAGCUGGUUCUCCCCGAAAUAUAUUUAGGUAUAGCCUUGCGUCAAUCAGUAACGGGGGUAGAGCACUGGAUGGGCUAGGGGUCCUACCAGAUUACCAAACCUAACCAAACUCCGAAUACCGUUAACUGUUAUCGCAGGAGUCAGACUACGGGAGCUAAGUUCCGUGGUCGAGAGGGAAACAGCCCAGAUCGCCAGCUAAGGUCCCUAAAUGAGUGCUAAGUGGGAAAGGAUGUGGAAAUGCACAGACAACCAGGAGGUUGGCUUAGAAGCAGCCACCCUUUAAAGAAAGCGUAAUAGCUCACUGGUCGAGUGAGUCUGCGCCGAAAAUGUAACGGGGCUUAAGCACACUACCGAAGCUGCGAGAUGAUUCUUUGAAUCAUCGGUAGGGGAGCAUUGUGUACGGGUUGAAGGUCGACCGUAAGGACGGCUGGACUGUACACAAGAGACCAUGCUGACAUGAGUAACGAUAAAGCGGGUGAAAAACCCGCUCGCCGAAAACCUAAGGUUUCCUGAGUAAAGCUAAUCUGCUCAGGGUUAGUCGAUCCCUAAGCCGAGGCCGAAAGGCGUAGGUAAUGGAAAACAGGUUAAUAUUCCUGUACCACCAGUUUGUCGUUUGAGUGAUGGGGGGACGCAGAAGGGUAGGUCAUCCACCGAUUGGAAGUGGUGGUUUAAGCCAGUAGGCUGAAAGGACAGGCAAAUCCGUCCUUUUAUUUAAAUGCCGAGAGGUGAUGACGAGUCCGCUUGCGGACAUAAAGUGAUUGAUCCCAUGCUGCCAAGAAAAGCCUCUAGCGAGACAAGCAGGUGAUCGUACCGCAAACCGACACAGGUAGGUGGGGAGAAAAUCCCAAGGCGCUUGAGAGAACCCUGGUUAAGGAACUCGGCAAAAUAACACCGUAACUUCGGGAGAAGGUGUGCCCUCAUUAGGUGAAACGUUUUACAUGUGGAGCUGACGGGGGCCGCAGAGAAAUGGCGGUAGCGACUGUUUACUAAAAACAUAGGACUCUGCUAAGUCGCAAGACGAUGUAUAGGGUCUGACGCCUGCCCGGUGCCGGAAGGUUAAGGGGAUUUGUUAGCUCUUCGGAGCGAAGCUUUGAACCGAAGCCCCGGUAAACGGCGGCCGUAACUAUAACGGUCCUAAGGUAGCGAAAUUCCUUGUCGGGUAAGUUCCGACCUGCACGA